UGGGGAAUAUUGCACAAUGGGCGAAAGCCUGAUGCAGCAACGCCGCGUGAGUGAUGAAGGCCUUCGGGUUGUAAAGCUCUGUCUUUUGGGACGAUAAUGACGGUACCAAAGGAGGAAGCCACGGCUAACUACGUGCCAGCAGCCGCGGUAAUACGUAGGUGGCAAGCGUUGUCCGGAUUUACUGGGCGUAAAGGAUGCGUAGGCGGAUUUUUAAGUGAGAUGUGAAAACCCUAAGCUUAACUUGGGGACUGCAUUUCAUACUGGAAAUCUAGAGUGCGGGAGAGGAGAAUGGAAUUCCUAGUGUAGCGGUGAAAUGCGUAGAGAUUAGGAAGAACACCAGUGGCGAAGGCGAUUCUCUGGACCGUAACUGACGCUGAGGCAUGAAAGCGUGGGUAGCAAACAGGAUUAGAUACCCUGGUAGUCCACGCCGUAAACGAUGAGUACUAGGUGUAGGAGGUAUCGACCCUUCUGUGCCGCAGUUAACACAAUAAGUACUCCGCCUGGGAAGUACGAUCGCAAGAUUAAAACUCAAAUGAAUUGACGGGGUCAUAGCUGUUUUCCU
rnacentral:rRNA from 1 species